GAUAUCCUUCGGGGCAGGGUGAAAUUCCCUACCGGCGGUGAUGAGCCUGCGCUCUCAGCCCGUGACCCGCAUUCGUUUGCGGUGGAUUCGGUGAAAUUCCGGAGCCGACAGUGAUAGUCUGGAUGGGAGAAGGAUGAA
rnacentral:ncRNA from 2 species